UACGGGGGGGCAAGCGUUGUUCGGAAUUACUGGGCGUAAAGGGCGCGUAGGCGCCUUCUAAGUCAGACGUGAAAUCCCUCGGCUCAACCGAGGAACUGCGUCUGAUACUGGAAGGCUUGAAUCCGGGAGAGGGAUGUGGAAUUCCAGGUGUAGCGGUGAAAUGCGUAGAUAUCAGGAGGAACACCGGUGGCGAAGGCGGCUUUCUGGACAGUUACCGACGUUGGAGGCACGAAAAGCUAGGGAGCAAACAGG
rnacentral:rRNA from 1 species